rnacentral:rRNA from 1 species
UCGACCUGAGCUCAAGCAAGACCACCCGCUGAA